UUUUGAAUUUCCUAACUGUUUUUUUUUUUGUGUAUAACGGUAUUCAAGUUAAAUAUGUUGCCACUCUCAAUACAUAUUUUCAGACUGUAAACACAAUCAUUGUCUCCUGCCUUUUCCUUGCGUCCUUGUUUUCCACUGGUUAAAUAGCAAAGUCUUUUAAAAGACCCCGUCUAGUGCAUUCGCAAGUGAAGCACCGUUUUUGAGGGUCGUUGAAUCCCGCUUCCGAUCAACUUGCGAUUCGCAAGAUUCAAAAAUUUGUUUACACCACGUACAAUGCAAAAAAGUGUACCUCAGCCGGAUGAAGCGUGUCCACAUUAGAAUAUACUAGACAAUAAUACCAACUCACCUAUCUCCCAAAUGUUGCGGGCUUGGUAUUUUGUUCCUGUAAACACUGAGAUUCUGAUAAAAUCCCCCAUCCUGUUGCAGUAGGUUAUGCGUAGACCUGCUACGCAAAUUGGCUGGGUUUGUGGAUGGACCAUUGGAAGGUGUCGUUGUGGCGCUGUUGGUGUUAAUACUAUUAUUGGACGAAGUUCGGCUAUAACCCGGGUUAAACACAUCGUGUGGAUUCCGAGAUUGUUCAGAGUUUGGUGAUAUGUGAUGAAGUGCUGGGACAGAUUUCGAAGAAGGGAUGGUGCGCUCUGAAUCCACCCUCGAUGGCAAAUCUCGCUCAGACAUGCGUCGAGGACCUAAGCAAAAAUUAAAUAUUUAAAUCUAUAAUGUCACAAUAACCCGAUAACAUUGAAAUAAAAGUUCCAUGGAAAUAAACAAAAA